AAGUUUCCCACUCCCUAUGAGUAACCACCUUCAGUACAAUAAAAUUAUAUUUAUAUUGUUACAGAAUUUUUUUUCACUCGACCAUGUAUUGCAGGCACCCAUCAUUACUUUAUUAGCAUAUACAGAUCCGCUUUCUUUGUUUUAAUAGCUAAAUAAUCAUCCCUAAUACCAAUUUUAGGUCUUUUAAUGGCCUCGGGGUUUCUACUGUUACAGGGCUGCAACGAACUUUCAUAAUGCAUAUCACUACAUGUGUUUUACCAAGUAUUUUCAUAAAAUUGGUUUGGGGGAGGGAGGGUCAAAGAAUAUACAGGUUAAGUAUCCCUAAUACAAAAGGCUUGGGGUCAGAAGUAUUUCGAAUUUCAGAUUUCUUAGGGUUUGGGAAUAUGUGCAUUAUACCUCAUUGAGCAUCCCGUAUCUAAAAAUUCAAAGUCAAAGUUCCAGUGAGCCUUUCCUUUGAGAGUCAUGUUGGCACUCAGAGAAUUUCAGAUUUUGGAGCAUUUCAGAUUUCUCAUUUUUGAAUUUGGGAUGCUCAACCUGUAUAUGUUUUGAAUUUUUAUAAGUACUUGUUACUCAUUUGAGGCUAAAUAUUGAAUAAUGAGUAGGUAUGCAUUAGGUGUACAAGGCAAAGAGAAGGGCAGUAGAUGUGGAAUGAUUCAGAUUAAGUGAAUAGUGCAUAUAAAUCCUCACCCAUGACUUAUCUGGGGAGGUUUGGGGAGUGGGAGCAGUUGAGGACCUUCUUACACAAAACCAUCUGAAAGGGUCUCAGAAGACUCGUAAGAAGUGUCAGCCAGCCCUGGAAGACCACACCAAGACUUGGUAAGUCAUUUAUACUGACAUGUUAAAACCCUGAAGAUGACUAAUCUAUUCAAAACUUGGAAAAAUACAUUAAUUAAAAUGUGCAUGGGUGUUUUAUACUACAAAUAAUUAACGUCUCAUUUGUUAAUUGUCAAGAAGCUAACAUUUUUGGAUUCUGAAGUCCGUUGUUCCCACAGUUAUAUUUCAGAUAACUUUACUGUGUUUAGGUACAGUUCAGUAAGAGAUCUACUUACGUAAAAGGAAGUUGUUUAAAAGAAAAAUGUGUGUUCUGUCAUUGUUGAGUAGAAACAGUAGACUUUGUACUUCACGUUUCCAAAGAAUAUAAACAGACCAUUGCUGUUGGAGGGGAUAGGAUCUAACUUUUCAUUUGACGCUAUUAUUUUAAAUGAACCAGUGUUAUACUGCAGCUUAACAGCUACAUUAAGGUCUUUUACUUUUUUUCUAAGCUUCAGAUCACCAACAUAGUUAAAUCACCAUAGUGAUGUAAUAUACCACUGCCGUUAUUAUAAAAAAUGCAGGCAACAUUAAUUUAUGUUGUCUUUUUCUGGUAGUAUAUUCUGGUAGUACAACAUGGAUUGAUUGUGGGAAAUAACUGGUCAGAUUUUUAUAAUUUAUGAAAGCAGCUAAGCCACUUGGUGACAUAGGAUAGGUUCCCUAUCCUAAAAAUCUUCAAAUUUGUUUCUCUGCAUUUCAGAAACAAUAUUCAGUUUCUUUACAUCUCAUUUUUAUUUUUGAACAGCUGAACUCCAGAGGGAGCUUUUGUUGAUGAAUGAAUCACUAAAUGUUGAAAAUUCAGGCUUCAGAACAAAUGAAGAAAUUCAUAGCGAAUCUUAUAACAAAGGAGAGAUAUCCAGUGGUAGAAAAGACAACGCAGAAGCCAUAAGCGGUCACAGUGUUGAAGCAGAUCCUAAAGAGGUUGAAGAGGAAGAAAGGCAUAUGCCUAAAAGAAAAAGAAAGCAGCAUUAUCUCUCUUCAGAAGAUGAACCAGAUGAUAAUCCAGAUGUCCUGGAUUCCAGAAUAGAAACAGCACAAAGGCAGUGUCCUGAAACGGAGCCACAUGACACAAAGGAAGAGAACUCCAGAGAUUUGGAAGAAUUACCUAAAACCAGUUCUGAGACAAAUAGCACUACCUCAAGGGUCAUGGAAGAAAAAGAUGAAUAUAGCAGCAGUGAAACUACUGGUGAAAAGCCAGAGCAGAACGAUGAUGACACCAUAAAAUCUCAGGAGGUGAGAU
rnacentral:sRNA from 1 species